rnacentral:rRNA from 1 species
GACGAACGCUGGCGGCGUGCUUAACACAUGCAAGUCGAACGAAGAGCGAUGGAAGCUUGCUUCUAUCAAUCUUAGUGGCGCACGGGUGAGUAACGCGUAAUCAACCUGCCCUUCAGAGGGGGACAACAGUUGGAAACGACUGCUAAUACCGCAUACGAUCCGACCUCGGCAUCGAGGAUGGAUGAAAGGUGGCCUCUAUUUAUAAGCUAUCACUGAAGGAGGGGAUUGCGUCUGAUUAGCUAGUUGGGGGGGUAACGGCCCACCAAGGCAAUGAUCAGUAGCCGGUCAGAGAGGAUGAACGGCCACAUUGAGACUGAGACACGGCCCAGACUCCUACGGGAGGCAGCAGUGGGGAAUCUUCCGCGAUGGACGAAAGUCUGACGGAGCAACGCCGCGUGAGUGAUGACGGCCUUCGGGUUGUAAAGCUCUGUUAAUCGGGACGAAAGGUCUUCUUGCGAAUAGGUAGAAGAAUUGACGGUACCGGAAUAGAAAGCCACGGCUAACUACGUG